AGCUGUUCCUGCACCUGCAGCUCGCUGCAGAGCGCCUGCAGCAUCAACCCAGGUGAGCAUGGUGCACCUUCAGCCAUUCCUGCACCUCCAGCAUCAGCCCAGGUGAGCAUGGUGCACCUUCAGCCAUUCCUGCACCUCCAGCAUCAGCCCAGGUGAGCAUGGUGCAUUUAUAGACAUUGCUGCACCUGCAGCUCGCUGCAGAGCGCCUUCAGCAUCAACCCAGGUGAGCUCUGCUGCAUUUAUAGACAUUGCUGCACCUGCAGCAUCA